rnacentral:rRNA from 1 species
CCUACGGGAGGCAGCAGUGGGGAAUAUUGGGCAAUGGGCGCAAGCCUGACCCAGCAACGCCGCGUGAAGGAAGAAGGCUUUCGGGUUGUAAACUUCUUUUAAGAGGGAGGAGCAGAAGACGGUACCUCUUGAAUAAGCCACGGCUAACUACGUGCCAGCAGCCGCGGUAAUACGUAGGUGGCAAGCGUUGUCCGGAUUUACUGGGUGUAAAGGGCGUGUAGCGGGGCUGACAAGUCAGAUGUGAAAUCCGGGGGCUCAACCCCCGAACUGCAUUUGAAACUGUUGGUCUUGAGUAUCGGAGAGGCAGGCGGAAUUGCUGGUGUAGCGGUGAAAUGCGUAGAGAUUAGGAGGAACACCAGUGGCGAAGGCGGCCUGCUGGACUACAACUGACGGUGAGGCGCGAAAGCGUGGGGAGCAAACAGGAUUAGAUACCCCUGUAGUC